rnacentral:rRNA from 1 species
GGGUCAGUAGGUUGGUCGUGCCACCCGUACGUACUGGUCUCACUGAUUCCUCCUUCCUGAAGAACCGUAAUGCCAUUAAUUUGGUGUUGCGGGGAAACAGGACUGUUACUUUGAAAAAAUUAGAGUGUUUAAAGCAAGCUAACGCUUGAAUACAUUAGCAUGGAAUAAUGAAAUAGGACGAUCGAUCCUAUUUUGUUGGUUUCUAGGAUUGACAUA